rnacentral:tRNA from 1 species
ACAUUGGUGGUUCAGUGGUAGAACUGUCCCCUUCCAUGCUAGGGGCCUAGGUUCAAUUCCUGGCCAGUGUA